AAAAAUGUCGGACAUCGCUAAUGGCGUGCCACUGUUGUUGAUGGAAAAUUGGGAAGAUAGGGUACGUAGAGUUGUUUAAUUUUUAUAGAUAUAAUUUGUAUGCAACGAUGAAACAAUGCUAAUAAAAUAAGAUUCUGAGCGAAGUUUAGUCGAACACGUUUUAAAUUGCCGUGGUUCUAACACGAUUUUAAAAAUUGAACUCAAAACGCUUCUAAAAAAAUAAAAAAAACUGACUC